ensembl:snoRNA SNORA44 small nucleolar RNA, H/ACA box 44
CAGCAUGCUAUCCUAAGGACCGGGGCUUGUCUGUAGUCUUAGGUGCUCCAAGUGCGUGCAAGAGAACGGGAUGGUCUUUGACUGUUGUGGCCCUGUUCUGCCACCAGCAGCCACUCUACUGUCCUACACAU